rnacentral:rRNA from 1 species
UACGUAGGGUGCGAGCGUUGUCCGGAAUUACUGGGCGUAAAGGGCGCGCAGGCGGCUGCUCAAGUCAGGCGUGAAAGGCCUGGGCUCAACCCGGGAAUUGCGCUUGAGACUGGGCUGGCUUGAGUGCGGGAGAUGAUGGUGGAAUUCCCAGUGUAGAGGUGAAAUUCGUAGAUAUCUGGAGGAAUACCGGUGGCGAAGGCGGCUAUCUGGCCAUGUACUGACACUGAAGCACGAAAGCGUGGGGAGCAAACAGG